rnacentral:rRNA from 1 species
UUAUGUGUGCCCAAGCAUUGAGGCAGUCAAAGUAGGCAAAUCCGCUUUGAUAAUGCUGGGAUGUGAUGGGGAGCGAAAUUUAGUAGCGAAGUAGCUGAUUUCACACUGUCAAGAAAAGUCUCUAUCGAGGUUAAAGGUACCCGUACCGCAAACCGACACAGGUGGGUGAGGAGAGUAUCCUAAGGCCAGCGAGAGAACUGUUGUUAAGGAACUCGGCAAAAUGACCCCGUAACUUAGGGAUAAGGGGUGCCACCAUCAGGUGGCCGCAGAGAAUAGGCCCAAGCGACUGUUUACCAAAAACAUAGGUUUCUGCUAAGUCGCAAGACGAUGUAUAGGAGCUGACGCCUGCCCGGUGCUGGAAGGUUAAGGGGAUCUGUUAGAGCAAUCGAAGCAGUGAACUUAAGCCCCAGUAAACGGCGGCCGUAACUAUAACGGUCCUAAGGUAGCGAAAUUCCUUGUCGGGUAAGUUCCGACCCGCACGAAAGGCGUAACGAUUUGGGCACUGUCUCAACAACAGACUCGGUGAAAUUGUAAUUCCGGUGAAGAUGCCGGAUACCUGCGACAGGACGGAAAGACCCCAUGGAGCUUUACUGUAGCUUGACAUUGGGUCUUGGUACUACAUGUACAGGAUAGGUGGGAGGCUUUGAAACCAGGACGCCAGUUUUGGCGGAGCCAUCCUUGGGAUACCACCCUUGUA